UACGUAGGUGGCAAGCGUUGUCCGGAAUUAUUGGGCGUAAAGCGCGCGUAGGCGGUCCUUUAAGUCUGAUGUGAAAGCCCACGGCUCAACCGUGGAGGGUCGUUGGAAACUGGGGGACUUGAGUGCAGAAGAGGAUAGUGGAAUUCCAAGUGUAGCGGUGAAAUGCGUAGAGAUUUGGAGGAACACCAGUGGCGAAGGCGACUAUCUGGGCUGUAACUGACACUGAGGCGCGAAAGCGUGGGGAGCAAACAGG
rnacentral:rRNA from 1 species